rnacentral:rRNA from 1 species
GACGAACGCUGGCGGCGUGCUUAACACAUGCAAGUCGUACGGUAAGGCCCUUUCGGGGGUACACGAGUGGCGAACGGGUGAGUAACACGUGAGUAACCUGCCCACAACUUUGGGAUAACGCUAGGAAACUGGUGCUAAUACUGGAUAUGUGCCCCUGCUGCAUGGUGGGGGUUGGAAAGCUCCGGCGGUUGUGGAUGGACUCGCGGCCUAUCAGCUUGUUGGUGGGGUAGUGGCCUACCAAGGCGGCGACGGGUAGCCGGCCUGAGAGGGUGACCGGCCACAUUGGGACUGAGAUACGGCCCAGACUCCUACGGGGGGCAGCAGUGGGGAAUAUUGCACAAUGGGCGCAAGCCUGAUGCAGCAACGCCGCGUGCGGGAGGACGGCCUUCGGGUUGUAAACCGCUUUCAGCAGGGACGAAGCUUUUUGUGACGGUACCUGCAGAAGAAGCACCGGCUAACUACGUG